GUCAAAUGUCAACCAUCGGGCCAAGAGAAAAACCUAUAAUUGACCCCGGCAGCACCACUGUGUUCCCUCAUCCACAUAAAGAUUCCACUGGACAAGGUCACCUAGCAACGGCUCUUAUUAUCGCCAUGUCAACCAUUUUCAUCAUGGCCAUCGCCAUCGUCCUCAUCAUCAUGUUUUAUAUCCUGAAGGCCAAACCGAGUGGCCAGGCCUGUUGUUCCGGACAAGUUGUGAAGGCAGUGGAAGCUCAGACCAGCAAACAGGAAGACA